rnacentral:rRNA from 1 species
GACGAACCGUGCGAACGUUGUUCGGAAUCACUGGGCUUAAAGGGCGCGUAGGCGGGCGAUCAAGUCAGGGGUGAAAUCCUCCAGCUUAACUGGAGAACUGCCUCUGAUACUGGUCAUCUUGAGUGAGGUAGGGGCGUGCGGAACUGAUGGUGGAGCGGUGAAAUGUGUUGAUAUCAUCAGGAACUCCGGUGGCGAAAGCGGCGCGCUGGACCUUAACGUGA